rnacentral:rRNA from 1 species
UACGUAGGGGGCAAGCGUUGUCCGGAAUCAUUGGGCGUAAAGCGCGUGUAGGCGGUCCGGUAAGUCCGCUGUGAAAGUCGGGGGCUUAACCCUCGGAUGCCGGUGGAUACUGUCGGGCUUGAGUACGGAAGGGGCGAGUGGAAUUCCUGGUGUAGCGGUGAAAUGCGCAGAUAUCAGGAGGAACACCAAUGGCGAAGGCAGCUCGCUGGAACGGUACUGACGCUGAGGCGCGAAAGCGUGGGGAGCGAACAGG